AAUCCAGUGCAACAAGUGCUGAAGUAGGGGGACAUAUAAGAUGUGGUGGAAAACAGAAAGGACCAAUAGAUGUUGCAGAAGGGGUGCAAGAGAAACCAGGGGAAGAGCACUACCACCUAAGGAAAUGAGAUGUGGGAUAUGGUGAAGAUAACACAUUUUUUUAUAGAGGUUGUUGAGAUAUCUAGGUGGUUGGUUUGGUUUGAAGCUCAGGGGAAGGUCUGAAAUGGACAGCUUUGGGAGUUGCUGGCAUGAAUGAGAAUCAAAGUCCUAGAGAGGUAAGCCUUCCCAGAGAGUAUGUAAUUAUCAGUUUUUCAGGAAUCAAAACCUUUGCCCCAUCCCACCUCCAGCUCAAUGACCAUUGCCCCUUCCUCAAAGGGACGAUCAUGGCUUCUCCCCCUUGCACUGGGCCUGCCGAGAGGGCCGCUCUGCUGUGGUUGAGAUGUUGAUCAUGCGGGGGGCACGGAUCAAUGUAAUGAACCGUGGGGAUGACACCCCCCUGCAUCUGGCAGCCAGUCAUGGACACCGUGAUAUUGUACAGAAGCUAUUGCAGUACAAGGCAGACAUCA
rnacentral:lncRNA from 10 species